UUUUUUAAUUAAAGUGACAGCUUCUGGAGUAUUCCGUGACAUCUUACGGCUUGCAUUAUAACUUGGUGGUCCAUCGUAAUUCAUUGACUGCAACCCGGUACUCUUCUUUUUUGAGUACCACAUUUCAGAUUUUGACUUUGUUGUAUGAUUUUCAUGUGGAGAAGUAUCCCAGAUAGAAGGAUUUCAUUGAGUUAUCAUUGGUAGAUGAAGAUGCCUUUGAAUUUCUUCUCAUUAUGGCCACAGAAAAGGCAAAAGGUUUUAAUUUCCAAAGGGAGGUUGGGAAAAUGAUGAAACAAUCAAAGAUACAGCACAUCAUGAGACAGUGGAGUAGGAGGGGAUGUUAAGAUUCGUUCUCCCUUAUAUUCUUUUUCAGCAAUCUGGGGACAUGGUACUUUAAGAACAAAACUAGUUACGCUGCCUAUAAAGGGAACAACUAGACUAUUGGCCUGAGAAAGGGACUCGCUAAAGAACUUGGAUGAAUGGCAAGAUAAUUUGCCAAAACGGGUGGAUGAAAGAAGCCUUGGAAAUGUUAGUAGGUCGCCUCACAAUUUGCGACUUGAAUCAUUUGUUGGGAGGUCAGGAAAAGAUGAAAAAAUUGAUGAUGCAGCACAGUAUGAGACACUGGAGGAAGCUGGAGUACGAGGGAAUGUUAAGUGCAAACUAGGAGAGGAAGAUGGUAUGUUGAGAACAAAACCGGUGACAUUGCCUGUGAAGGGCACAUUUUUCUUUGUUAGUAACAGAACAACUAGACUCUUGGCCCGAGAAAUAGAUUUACGAAAGACUUGGGUAUGCAAUAAGCCAUUCUUCUUCAAUCUAUAUUUUGAUUACUUAUAAGUGGUUUUAACAAGUUUCACUCUUUUGGUUUUGAAUCACUUUUGUAGUGUAAAAUGGGAAGAUGGCACUUUGAGAACAAAGCCGCUGACACUGCCUAUGAAGGCCACAUGUUUCCUCUAUUUGUAACAGAACAACUAGGCUAUUGGCCUGAGAAAGGUAUUCGUGAAAGAACUUGGGUAUGGAAUAGUUCAUUCUAUUUAAAUUUCAUUUUGCUAUAUAUUCACACUUCUGUUUGCUGACAAGUAGCUUGUCCAAAAACCAAUUACAGAUGAAUGUGCACGUAGCAAGAAAAUUUUGCCCAAAUGGGGCCGCAGAAUUAUUAGAAGUUGCCUCACAUCACAAAGCAAACAGACCAAAGGGGAACUGUAAUCGAAUGUAGCUCCAUUGUUUGAGUAGCUAUACUUCCUUUAGGAUGUAGAGCUCAAAUAUUUUCUCUGCCACUUCCAAGUUCUACUAAAGAAGUGUAGAGUUUAUUGAUACCGAUCCACUGUCAAAUCUACAUGUGGUAGAAUAGUUAGUGGAUAGGAACUAAUUACUGAAACUGGUCAAUCUAGCUGGUGGAUUAAGUAGUUCACAGCAACUCCACUGUUAAGGGAACAACCAAAAAAAAUACUAGAAGUAUAAUUUUUGUUAUCUCAGAAUGGGAGUUGUGUGACAUAAUAGAUAAUUAGAAUCAGAGCUAUCAAAGGAGAUGAACAUGUACAUAGCUAUCAGAAAUGUUGAUGUUGGAAAAUAACUGCAUCGGAUUAUUGGAUUUUCUCUUGAUUUUCUAAUUCUUUUUCCCUAGAUCUCUAGCAUUCUUUAAUUCUUCAUAUUGCUGGCAAAGCUAGAAGGUUGCAGUCAUUUAUCAUAGCAUUCAGAAGGUUUAACAGGUUUUAAUUUUGCUGGAAUAUUAUGCAUUCAGAUGAUAAAAAAGUCGCAUAGGAUUUUUUUUAAUAUCAAGUUUACUCUGCAAGCCAUUAUUUUGCAUUUUUUAGGACCAAGUUUCAGAUUUUGACUUUGUUGUUUAUAUGAUCCAUGUGGAAAGAUGUACUUUUGCUGUUAAGGUUGUAGUCACUUUAUUAACUAUACCUGUUCCCUGGUCA